rnacentral:rRNA from 1 species
GACGAACGCUGGCGGCGCGCUUAACACAUGCAAGUCGAGCGAAGCGGCGGACGGGUGAGUAACACGUGAGUAACGUGCCUUAGACAUUGGGAUAGCCUCGGGAAACCGGGAUUAAUACCAAAUGGUCUAAGAUGGACUCGCGUCCCAUUAGCUAGUUGGUAGGUAACGGCCCACCAAGGCGACGAUGGGUAGCCGGCCUGAUAGGUGGAACGGCCACAGUGAAACUGAGAAACGGUCCAAACUCUACGCAGUGCAGCAGUGGGGAAGAUUGCACAAUGGAGGGAACUCUGAUGCCGCGACGCCGCAGGGGGGAUGAAGGCUUUCGGGUUGUAAACCUCUUCGCUAUCGAACACUAUAUGGUGAGUUGAGGGUAGGUGGAGAAGAAGCGCCGGCUAACUACGUGCCAGCAGCCGCGGUAAUAC